CUCUUUGAUAGCCAGGUUUCUUCCAAAGCAGGGUUUUAAAGAGGACUGGAAAAUCUGGAAUAGGGCUGAAUAGUAUUUGAACAGCCCUAAAGAGUGACUAAGAGUUUGCCAUACGGAUAGGAUAAAAGCAACAGAGGGAAUAUGAAAAUGACAGAUGGAAGAUUACAGAGGCAUGGCAAGUGGUUUGAAUAUGUGUACAUUCAAAUAGUCAUAAAGUCAUAAACGUUGCUGAGGGAAGUAGGAGGCAAAAGACACGUGAACAAAAGGAUGAAAAAGGAUGGAAAGAGAAGCACUCAAAAGAAGAUGCUAAAACCACCACCAAAUGGAAGAAAUUAACUACUGGGUGAUCAUGAGCAUGCAGCCCUCAGACCUACUGGCACUUAAGGUUGAUAAUGUUAACCCUUGUGACACUGCCCUGUUACCUCACCAUCGACCAGUCAGAGAACUGUGCAUGAGCUGAUCAUAUAACCUGCAACCCUCCUCCCUCACCUGGCCUUUAAAAAAAAGGUUCAGCCUUUGUUGAAACCCUUCAUGGAGUCUGGCUAUUUUUUGAGCACAAGCCACCUGUUUUCCUUGUGUUGCUGUCUUACAAUAAA